AAAAGUCAUACUCUUAAGAAAAAAAGUCGACUAGGAGUCAACUAAGAACCGAUCUAUUUAACAUUGCACAUCAUACAUGUAACGCUAACAACAUUAUUUAUUAUUAGUCUAAAGACACAACAUUCGCAUGUGUUAUUUUCUCGUCGACUCUAUAUGACGUGGAAAGUCAAUGCCGACUCUAGCACUGUGGAUGCCCUGACGGACUAAAUGAUCAAGGUAAUGUCAUUAUUCAUAUUUUCCUUGUUUAACUUCUCAUAAUGUCGUGACUCAUAUGGUGGCUAACAUCGCUAGAUUGGAGCAGCGUGCGACUGUGUGGAUGGGUUCAGGCCCACCGUCUGUGGUGGAGCAGGUUCUCCAAUAUUGUAACACUUGAGUUUUAAUACACCCAUUUUUACCCCAAAAAAAAAACUUCUCAUAAUGUCGCCGAAGUACUUAAGUUUUCGAGAUGAGCGCAACAACAGCUCGUUAAAAUUGGAUGUUUGGGACACGGAAGUUGACCAUCGGAAAAGCUAAAAAAAAAUGCACAAUGAUAUGACUCAGCACACCCCGAGUGCCGACGGUCGGACAAAACAGAAGGCUACUACUAGUACCAAGCCCACACGAAGCCGCACGAAAAUUUUAAACUAAAGGAGCCUAUUUUGGCAAAAGCAACCUACUACCAUUAAGAUGUCAUCAAGAAAAAGAAAAAAAGACCUUAAAAGAAGGGGCUUGUUUGGCAAGUAGCCACUGGGUUUUGGGUGCUCAGAGUCUACGGUGGACCAUGAAGAAACAACAGAGAGGCUGGCCCCGUGAAGUCGUGAACACACGUGUACAGCAAGGAGGGUCCCUGGUGGACCUGGUGCAUC
rnacentral:lncRNA from 1 species